GUGCGUGAGAGGGUGAAUAGCGGUGAGGUGCAGUUGGAAUACUGCCCUAGUGGAUGGUAGCGGAUGUGCUAACGAAGGCUCUGGGCGAGGUGAAGUUCAAACGUUGCCGAGAUGCUAUGGGCCUUGUGUGAAGUGUGCAGAUGAACUUGGUACUCGUUGGGAUACGGCCCGAGGGGGCGUGUUGAGGAAACGGUCCUCUCCCAACUCGUGUGGUUGUCGACCAGGGGAUUUGACCCCGGGUCUGCGCCUGACUAAUGGGGAAGACUUACCCCAGAACCUUAUGGGGCUACCGAUGCAUAUCCGGUAGCUAAGUGAUAGACAUUAGGGCACCGUCUGGACGGCGCAGUGAGAUCGCGGAAUGUACGUGCAGUUAGAUCGCGGAAUGUACGAGUUUUCCGCUAGCGCCGGUAUUUAGGGCGGUGACUGCGCCUAUUUGUUUAUCUCACAACGAUCGGUAUUCCUACCAGGAAUCUCCUCAAGUCCUGCCGAACGCUAACAAUACUCUUUACAUUACUUGUAACAGUUUAUCGUGCUAAAUAUCUUCGCCACCGGCAAUCCUUCCGGAAUAACAAUUAGCGUUAGCUGUCACCGUCGCCAAAUCUUCAAUACAUCCGAGUAUUAACGAACUCCCCGCCACGAUCUGUACGCACCUCCUUAACCUGCCUGCCAGUAGCGCGCUCCAGUUCCGCUAUCAUUACCACCAUCUUCUGGUAGACCUCCUCCUUGGUCGCUGUAAACGCAACAGCUGAAAGACCAGUAUGGUCGUCAAGCAGGGUUGUCACGUAACGCGAACCACUAGGCGAAGGUUCAGGCAUAGGCCCACACACAUCUAUGUGGAUUAAUGCUAGUGGCUGUGUUGCCUUAUGCCCUGUUAGCGGAAAAGGGCCACGUGUAUGUUUAGCAAGGACGCAAGUCUCACACACACACGCGCUGGCUGAUUGUAUGCUGUGUCGGUCAACAUCAAAUCCAGCUACCAUAUUAUGACGCAGCAACGUCUCAAGGUUGCUGUAUCCCAAGUGGCCAUACCGUCGGUGCCAAAGUGCUGCACGUUCAGCUCCGAUAUCCACGGCAGCACACACUGCAUCACCACCAGAAGGUAUCCUGUUGUCUUCACGCUGCGUCCUCUUCAGAGCUCCCGUACCUCCACUGCUGUAGCAGACGGGAUACAAGUCCCCAUCCCGCUUUCCAGUCAGCACCAACUGGUUCUGUACGUAUACUUUCGCCUGUCCGCCGCCGAAGACCACACUGCCUCCACGAUCAUCAAUGAUGCGUACCGAUAUGAUUUUGGCGGUGGCUUCCUCGUCGACGUAGACCUUCUUGAAAGUGAUGGCCUGUUUAUCGUUGACGUUAGACCGAAUCGUAAGCGUGCCAACUUCAGUCGNNNNNNNNNNNNNNNNNNNNNNNNNNNNNNNNNNNNNNNNNNNNNNNNNNNNNNNNNNNNNNNNNNNNNNNNNNNNNNNNNNNNNNNNNNNNNNNNNNNNNNNNNNNNNNNNNNNNNNNNNNNNNNNNNNNNNNNNNNNNNNNNNNNNNNNNNNNNNNNNNNNNNNNNNNNNNNNNNNNNNNNNNNNNNNNNNNNNNNNNNNNNNNNNNNNNNNNNNNNNNNNNNNNNNNNNNNNNNNNNNNNNNNNNNNNNNNNNNNNNNNNNNNNNNNNNNNNNNNNNNNNNNNNNNNNNNNNNNNNNNNNNNNNNNNNNNNNNNNNNNNNNNNNNNNNNNNNNNNNNNNNNNNNNNNNNNNNNNNNNNNNNNNNNNNNNNNNNNNNNNNNNNNNNNNNNNNNNNNNNNNNNNNNNNNNNNNNNNNNNNNNNNNNNNNNNNNNNNNNNNNNNNNNNNNNNNNNNNNNNNNNNNNNNNNNNNNNNNNNNNNNNNNNNNNNNNNNNNNNNNNNNNNNNNNNNNNNNNNNNNNNNNNNNNNNNNNNNNNNNNNNNNNNNNNNNNNNNNNNNNNNNNNNNNNNNNNNNNNNNNNNNNNNNNNNNNNNNNNNNNNNNNNNNNNNNNNNNNNNNNNNNNNNNNNNNNNNNNNNNNNNNNNUUGGCAGCACCGGUAACCAUCGGCAAAUGAUGAUCCUUGACGUUCUUGAUGAGCAGAUUGAUGACCUUCCGUGACUGUCGAAUUUGCUCCUCGUUGCACGGCUCGGCGAGCAGGGAUUGCUCAAGCCCAAGCUCCAUGCACAACGCGCUGAACCGAAUUUGCCAGGUAGAGUAGUUGUUGAGAUCCAGCGACUCAUCAAGCUUGUCCUUAACCAUUGUUGAUGAGGGAUAGAAAUAACAAUUGGGCGAUAACUGUCGGCGCUAACCGGGGCUCAUAACCUAUUGAAGAAUUGGCGACGGUGACAGCUAACGCUAAUUGUUAUUCCGGAAGGAUUGCCGGUGGCGAAGAUAUUUAGCACGAUAAACUGUUACAAGUAAUGUAAAGAGUAUUGUUAGCGUUCGGCAGGACUUGAGGAGAUUCCUGGUAGGAAUACCGAUCGUUGUGAGAUAAACUAAUAGGCGCAGUCACCGCCCUAAAUACCGGCGCUAGCGGAAAACUCGUACAUUCCGCGAUCUAACUGCACGCACAUUCCGUGAUCUCACUGCGCCGUCCAGACGGUGCCCUAAUGUCUAUCACUUAGCUACCGGAUAUGCAUCGGUAGCCCCAUAAGGUUCUGGGGUAAGUCUUCCCCAUUAGUCAGGCGCAGACCCGGGGUCAAAUCCCCUGGUCGACAACCACACGAGUUGGGAGAGGACCGUUUCGUCAACAUACGGGCGAUGAUGGCAUCCAUAUGCCCCGAACGACGGCGAAGGGUCGUUGUUGCCAAUAACCCACCUUGGUACUCGGACCUCAUUUGUAAUAACACUGCGACCUUUGCCAGGAUCAAUGAAUGGAUCAAGUCCUUGUAAGCUCCACCGCAGCUGGCACCAGCGCAUGCAGGUGGUGAGUUGCUGAACCCAACGAAUUCAUUCUGAAGUCGGAUGGGGUGAAUGGAUUAGGGUGCCCCUCUCGCAGGUGAGAGCAGGGAACUGCCUCGGGAAAGGGGGCCGCUGGUGGAGCUUAAACACCCUGUAACAACAUACAUACCUGGAGGCAGGCGGCUGGCAGAGGUUAAGGCCUGACUUCUGCUCCCAGUUGACCCAGUCGACCCGGGUUCAAAUCCGCCUGCCGGCUCCUCGGGUGUUUGAGGAGUGAUGAAAUGGGAGGUGGCCCCCCAUCUUAUGGACGGUGUAGGACGUGAUAAUAUCAACUUGCGAGCUGACCAGGAACUAAGUUGAUGCGCCGUUGAUCCGCUAGAUUUGGUUGGAUGCUGGUGGUGAGUUGCCGAACUCAACGAAUACAUUCUGAAGUCGGAUGGGGUGACGGAUUAGGGUGCCCCUCUAGCAGGGGAGAGCAGGGACUGCCCCGGGAAAGGGGGCCGCUGGCGAAGUUAACCACCCUGUAACAACAUACAUACCUGGAGUUCCAGUCCUGCGGGCAUCAGCCCUAGGCAAUAGCUAAGCAUCACGUCGCCGAGACACCUACCCCUGUCGUCGAUAUCUAUGAGUAAACCUCUCUUCACUUCGCAAACCAACGUCAACCUGAACAGCACCCCGGAACCCCUCGGGUCCCAUUACUUCUGUCACCGUUCUGCUGCUGGUACGGUAGAAAGGUGUCGGUCAUUUUCUCACAAUUGGGAGCCACAGGGGUCAGAAAUCGGUGGGGGUUAGAGCUUAGGUAUGGCUUGUUCAUGUGCCGCCUCAGCUCGCCCAUGAACUUGGGAGCUCAGGGUACUAUCACCUUACUGGAUGUGGAUUAGACUCCUUCCCUCGGGAUGUGGAUAUGGACAUGACCCCCACUCUGGAUAGGGAAGUGGUCCACCCUGCUGAGAUUAGAGGAUGGCUGACCGGUACCCAACCCCAGGAUGAGAGGAUUAGGACCCCUGGCCUCGGUUACAAGGUACGGAGAAGCUGCGAUACCCCAACGUUAAGUAGAGGAGAGACAACGCUCGGGCAAUUAGUAGUUGGGAUUCAGCGUUAUUUCUUUGCGGAAUAUAUUCCGAAUUUCGAAUAAAAAAAUGUCCGUGGUCCUGAAAGUUAAGGAUAAAUAAUUGUUAAGACCAGCAAAGCGCCGGACCCCCGUUGGGUCCUAUUACUGUUGCUACCAUUCACUGGUAUAUGAGUGUCGGUCAUUUCCAACAAUAAUGUUCCAACCGUACAAGUUCAUUCCUCCAGCCAAAAAUGGACUGUCCAUGCCAAAGCCGCUAGAAUCUUACAGGAGACCUACAUAUCAUAGUACUUUAAUGCCAUGGAUACUGUUAGGAAGCUCACGCCCGAAAGUCAACGAGGAAUCGGACUGUUUCUGACCGGACCAAACGCUGCAAAACAUUCGGACCCGAAGCUCCCAAAGCAUUGAAGGCCAUUAAAGCAGAUACUAAAUUUCACUGAAGCCAUUAGCGACGUUAAUGAAGACGGUGUAGGGGUCGUAGGCAAUGUGGACGCAAUGCUGCAGCCAGCCGACGACAAUGACGCCACUCCGGUUGUCAACAGCGAGCGGGCCAAACAUCAAUGUUCCUCAUAUGGAUACAAUCGCGAUGGGCCAGGAUACAGGUUGCGUUUGGUGGUUCCGGUUCAUUGCUGCUAUGCAUCAUUACUUCUGCAACCUGGAAAGUCGUGUAGUGUUAUCUUUCAACGUGAUGCAAGACGAACGAUGGUGAACGAACUCUAUUCGAUCAGUGCUUGAGAGAUUGGUGUGCGCGUGUUGUGACAUUCCCCAAACCCGGCGAUUGCACGGCGAUUGCACGAACUCAUGGGGGGGGGGAGCCCCCCCAGCGCCUUACAGAUUCGAAAUACCUUUAUUCCUGCGACUAAAAACCUAUUCCUCCGUUCGGACCGGAAAAUUAACCGGCAUAAAUGAAAAAAACACUGAUGCCAAGAUGGCGGCAUCCUCAAGUGGGUCCGGAAUGGGGUCGAUCUCCAUAGGCAAAUUACGGUGGGGCUCCAUCAGAUGUCCCUGGGGAGACCCCCGAAUUAGUCGGGAGCGCGAGAUUAUGGCUAGCUGCUGAGAUGUGGAGUUGAGGUCACAGUUGAUGGACCAGAUUCGCACGCUGGAUUGGUGGCGAUUGCCGAACCCUCCGUCUCUUCGGGUGUUCGGGUGAAUGGAUGAGGAGGGGUCCCUGAAGGCUGGGAUCCGCCGCCUUGGACUUACAGUUCGUAUGGCGAAGUGCAGUGUGGUAGUGGUGGAUGGUGCUAUAAGGUGAUAAAUGAUCUAGAACUGACAAUGUGAUAAAGCGGCCCAGAAGCCUCCCACUCUGUAACAUUAAAAAAAAAAAAAAAAGAUGUCCCAAGCGGCUCAAACCAUCCACGUGUUGGAAAUGACCGACACUCAUAUACCAGUGAAUGGUACCCACAGGAAUAGGACUCAACGGGGGUCUGGCGCUUUGCUGGUCUUAACAGGUUAUGAGCCCAGAACAGGUUAUGAGCCCAGAACAGGUUAUGAGCCCAGAAUGGCGCAUUGCGUCGCCGGAUCGAUACCCACUGGCUGUUGCCCAGAGAAUGGGAGACCGGGAUGAGGCAUGGGAAGGCCCGUAGCGAGAGAGUGUCGCUCACGGGAUGGUGUGGAAAUGACCGACACUCAUAUACCAGUGAAUGGUAGCCACAAUAAUAGGACCCAACGCGGGUCCGGCGCUUUGCUGGUCUUACUUCACCACGUUUGAAUUCUUACGUCCAGCCUUAUGCAUUACUUCAAAAUCGUAGGCUUGAAGCUUGAGCGCAUAUCGAGCCAGCUUUCCCAGAAGAUCUCAAGCGUGCCGUGCGCAAAGUCCAAAGACCCGCCGUGCGCAAAGACCAAACCGUCAUCAAAUUCGUGAUGAGUAAGUACAAAAUGAGUGCCGUACAAGUAGGGAUGAAAGUGUUUGAUUGCCCAUAAGGCAGUGUAGGCCUCUCCAUCUGCCGCGCUGUAAUUCAGCUGUGAGCCAGUCAUAGCCUUACUAGCAAACUGAACGGUGUAUUCCUUUGUUGUCCUGCUGGGCCAGGCAUGCAGCGACGGCAGAACGGCACCAGUCGACUUGGACCAAGAACGCGUCAGAAAUCAGGUGCGCGGAGAACAGGCUUCCGUAGCAAAGUAUUACGUAGCUCUUGAAAAGCGUCUUCUUCUCUUGGACCCCAACACCAGGAUGUCCCCUGCUUAAGUAGCGCAUACAAUGGCUGUGCAAUCAAGCCGAAGCCAGGGAUACGUUCCCGGUAGUAAUCAACAGCUCCCAGCCAAGCUCGUACUUCGCGAACAUUGGAUGGAGACGGAAGUUCUGCAAUUUGCAUGACGUUGGCGGGGUUAGGUCCCACGACACCACGUACUCCGUCAAGAAGAUGACCAAGAAAAACCACGCGUUGAUGGCCAAACGUGCACUUCUUAGCUGCGAUCUUGAGACCAGCCAUUCGGUCGCGCACUUAAUGAAGAUGUCGUACAUGAUCUUGUAUUGUUGGGCUGAAGAUAAGGAUAUCAUCCAGAUAGACUGUUAAGAAUAUGAAGGCAAGGAGACUGGUCGCGAUAUAAGGGUUACAGUCUGUGGGUUAGUGGUGAACGGCAAGAAGACUUUAGGAGAUUGGGGCUACCGAUGCAUAUCCGGUAGCUAAGUGAUAGACAUUAGGGCACCGUCUGGACGGCGCAGUGAGAUCACGGAAUGUACGUGCAGUUAGAUCGCGGAAUGUACGAGUUUUCCGCUAGCGCCGGUAUUUAGGGCGGUGACUGCGCCUAUUAGUUUAUCUCACAACGAUCGGUAUUCCUACCAGGAAUCUCCUCAAGUCCUGCCGAACGCUAACAAUACUCUUUACAUUACUUGUAACAGUUUAUCGUGCUAAAUAUCUUCGCCACCGGCAAUCCUUCCGGAAUAACAAUUAGCGUUAGCUGUCACCGUCGCCAAUUCUUCAAUACCGUAGGCUACGCUAAAGCCAUAAAAACAAUCCAUGCACGUGUAAAGCGAGCAACAACAGCUCCACAUAAAACCUGCACACAUCACGGUGCAUCUUUUACCUAAUUCAACUUUACGAUUAGAAACAAAGUCCAAAGCCCUACAAAUGAACCACAACCCAAAACCUCAACAAUCAGCAGUCGAUAUCUACACCCACGCACGAAAACCACAAAUAAUAACACGACCAAGUCAAGAUGCACAUGCACGUACUCGAUUAGAGGCAUCUGGUGUCACUGGGAUAUUGAUACACAUGUCUGGGUUUUCGUACAACCCCGCAAUACCCUUACUAGCCAUAUCACACACGCGCACAUACAUACAUAGCUCUCCCUGCAUCGUCAUGGGCCCCAGUACUACUACCGCCCAUGCCGCCCCGCUAGCCUCGCGGUCCAGCAGCUACCAGCAGGCCACCAGGAUCGGUGCAAGCAAAAGCAUAAUCAGCUACCGGAGUGCCGUACAAACAGUAAAUCCCUAACAACCAACGGUAGAACCCUUAUUACCGUUCUGCUCACUUCUUGGGGGCCGGCGGCGGCGCCUUAUUCGUUAAUGGAGGUGAUGGGGGAGAUGGAAGCGGCUGCUUGCCCGCCGGUGCCGGUGGCGGGGGACGCACUGGCGGCUGGUUGCUUGGACGCCGGGGGGGGCGAAAGCGGCUGCAUCUUUGACGGCUGGGUCGACGGCGGGGGCGAGACCGGCUGCUUGCUUGACGGCUGGGUCGACGGGGGGGGCGAAAGCGGCUGUUUGUUUGACGGCAGUGUCGACGGGGGGGGCGAAACCGGCUGCUUGUUUGACGGCUGGGUCGACGGCGGCGGCGAAAUCGGCUGCAUCUUUGACGGCUGGGUCGACGGCAGGGGCGAAACCGGCUGCUUGCUUGACGGCUGGGUCGACGGGGGGGGCGAAAGCGGCUGCUUGUUUGACGGCAGUGUCGACGGGGGGGGGGCGAAACCGGCUGCUUGUUUGACGGCUGGGUCGACGGGGGGGGCGAAAUCGGCUGCUUGUUUGACGGCAGUGUCGACGGGGGGGGCGAAACCGGCUGCUUGUUUGACGGCUGGGUCGACGGGGGGGGCGAAAUCGGCUGCUUCUUUGACGGCUGGGUCGACGGCGGGGGGCGAAACCGGCUGCUUGCUUGACGGCUGGGUCGACGGGGGGGGCGAAAGCGGCUGCUUGUUUGACGGCUGGGUCGACGGGGGGGGGGCGAAACCGGCUGCUUGCUUGACGGCUGGGUCGACGGGGGGGGCGAAAGCGGCUGCUUCUUUGACGGCUGGGUCGACGGCGGGGGCGAAACCGGCUGCUUGCUUGACGGCUGGGUCGACGGCGGCGGCGAAAUCGGCUGCUUAUUUGAUGGCAGGUUUGACGGCGGCGGCGAAAGCGGCUGCUUGUUUGACGGCAGCGGCGGCUUGCUGCUUGUUACGUUUGCAGCCAGGGCACCUGUGCAGAGGGAUGCGAUCCCCAAAGACACGUUCAAUGCCAGCACCGCUACUAGACGACCUGACGAAGCUCCAAGUCGAUUUCCUAAGGCCGUCAGCAUAUCUACGUCGCCACACAAAGAUGCUGCUCCACAAAACAUUGUUCCCCGGAGGUGCACGUACAUGAUUAUGAAACUGAGAUUGCCUCACCUUCUUGGCACAGAAACGCGAGGACCAGCAACAAGGCAGGCGGCUGGCAGAGGUUAAGGCCUGGCUUCUGCUCCCGGCGCGUCCCGGCGCGUCCGGGUUCAAAUUCCGCCUGCCGACCUCUCGGGGUGUUUGAGAGGUGAUGAAAUGGGAGGUGGCCCAUCUUGUGGACGGUGUAGGACGUGAUAAAAUCAACUUGCGAGCUGACCAGGAACUAAGUUGACGCGCCGUUGAUCCGCUAGAUUUGGUUGGAUGCUGAUGGUGAGUUGUGUUGGAAAUGACCGACACUCAUAUACCAGUGAAUGGUAGCCACAAUAAUAGGACCCAACGGGGGUCCGGCGCUUUGCUGGUCUUAACAGGUUAUGAGCCCCGAAUGGCGCAUUGCGCUGCCGAGAGGUCGCCGGAUCGAUACCCACUGGCUGUUGCCCAGAGAAUGGGAGACCGGGAUGAGGCACGGGAAGGCCCGGAGCGAGAGAGUGUCGCUCACGGGGGGGUGUUGGAAAUGACCGACACUCAUAUACCAGUGAAUGGUAGCCACAGUAAUAGGACCCAACGGGGGUCCGGCGCUUUGCUGGUCUUAACAAGUUGCCAAACUCAAAGAGUACACUCUGAAGUCGGGUGGGGUGAAUGGCUUAGGGUGCCCCUCUAGCAGGGGAGAGCAUGGAACUGCCUCGGGAAGGAGGCCACUGGUGAAGCUUAACCACCCUGUAACAACAUCAACAAGAGGAGGCGUACGGUUGCCAUUUUAUCCGUGAUAUGUAACAAGGAAAUGUAUGUAACGAAACAAACCACUUGGCUUCAAACCCAACGUUCCAGGCGGAGGAGAUGCUUCCACAACACUUCGGGAGCCAAAAGUUAUACUAGUGAGUGAAAACUUGUGUACGGAACUGCCCACUACAGGCAUCGUACACAAAUUGCGAACCAGGAUGGCUGGUUUAAUGGUUUAAUGCUGCGCAUAUGGAGGUGCCGACUUGGUUUAGAAGUGGCGUCUACGAAUCGGUUAGCGGCGGUGUUUUUAAAGGAACAGCAGCAGCUUACUAAACUGUCCUUUGUCAGGUCGCCACGGUUUCGGUUUCGCCGCUGGAAAACCUUCGUCUGUGCGUUCAAAGUAAGGGAGAUGUUGCAAUAUUGCAUGUAGGUCCUAUGUUUUAGUUCCAAGUGUAAAUAAUGAACAAGUCAUGAGGGUGAGGGUGAGCCUCGGCUUUGGAGUCAUGUGUGCCAGUCCGGCAGAAGUUUAAAGGGUUUAGGGCUUUAUCAGAGCCGCAGUCCCAUGGCAGGUGAGGUUUUGGUGAGAUUAUAUAUGGGCACGUUACACGCCGUGCUUGUACGAAAGAUCGCGCUUAACAAUUCAGUGUUUGCGCCAUUUGCUUGUUUGGCCGAUAUAGGAUUGGUUGCUAGCUCUUACUUGCGCAAACAGCGAGCGCUUGCUGGAACGAAGGGCGGCAAGGCACUGCAUAUCGUGAUAUCAGCGCAAUGCGGCUGUCUGUGUGCAAUUUGAUAAGCUAAAUAGACACUUUCAGAGAGGAGGCUACAAGUCUUUGCCAGCCUCCUAGCACAGAGGCCGAAGACCACUUUGGCAAAGACUCGGUGCAAAGAUAGGGUGCUCGGUCCAUAUCUGGACGUACACGUGAAACUUCACCCGAAUGAAACCCCAGUGCUGCUUUUUAUGAAGCCGUGCCAAGUCUCAACGCAGCUCUAAGGCAAAUCACUCAUGACUGUACCCUUAAAUGUCUAGCAAUGAACAUAACCAGCCUGCAGGUCUGCUGCAUGCUUUUGGGUGCCUGGGAGCUCAGGGCCUGUUCAAGGGUCCACUUCAAGCGCCGACCCUCACCUGAAACGAACGGUCAACAUUGCCUACGACCUCUAGGCCGUCUUCAUUAACGACGCUAAUCGCUUCAGUGAAGUUUAAUAUCUUCUUUCAUGGCCUUCCACGUUUUAGGAGCUUCGGGUCCGAAUAUUUUGCAGCGUUUGAUCCGGUCAGAAACAGUCCGAUUCCUCGUUGACUUUCGGGCGUGAGCUUCCUAGCAGUAUCCAUGGCAUUAAAGUACUAUGAUAUGGUUAACAUGUAGGUCCCCUGUAAGAUUCUAGCGGCUUUGGCAUAAACAGUCCAUUUUUGGCUGGAGGAAUGAACUCGUACGGUCGGAACAUUAUUUAUUCUUAAUUUUCAGGACCGCGAACAAUUUUUUAUUCCGAAUUCGGAAUUGUUAAGACCAGCAAAGCGCCGGACCCCCGUUGGGUCCUAUUACUGUGGCUACCAUUCACUGGUAUAUGAGUGUCGGUCAUUUCCAACACCCCCCCGUGAGCGCCAGAGCACAACCAAGAAGCAACCAGACCCCUGGCCCCGCUUGGCAAGCGACACUUGGAUAGGUCAGCUCGUCUGACAUCUGAGCACCAGAUAAGAUACCUGCAGUACAACACGCACGGCAACACCGUCGCCGUCACGCUGUCAAUCCAUGUUAAGCAGGUUACGCGGAGCCACCUGCUUCUGAAAGCACCGAUACUGAUGAUGACCCCGGAAUGAUCUGUUCGGUCUGUCUACGAGGGCGGCCGACGUCCACUCUUCUGCUCUGCGAUGAGCCUUCCUGCUGUCUGGGCUGGCACACUACGUGUCUAGAUCCAUCAUUGUCUGUACCGGCUAGGCCAUGGUUUAGCCCACUUCAUAAUAGCAACCCAGCUCAACAUUCUACAAAGCGUCACCUGUCUACUGGCCCUGGUGAUACGCCAGCCAAGGGGGUGCAAUUUUCCCUAUCCCUGCCCGCCCUGGACAAACCCUGUCCUGCUGAUCAAUGACUGGCUGGAGGUCCAGCCAUCAUUCACCCCCGGGCCACCUCAGGUCGCCCUAUGGCCGACCGUAUUCCUACUCAGGGAUUGACCCCGUCACCUACUCCUUUUCACGGUGUUUUCAGCAAAGAGCUUACAAUGGCGGCUGAACGCAGCACCGGUACCGUCCUGAAUCCAACACUACCGUCAAAGGAACCGGCGGAGGUAUGUGUAGAAGACUAUGCGGCUCUGCAGCACCGACGUUCACAACUAGAGCUGGUGGCUGAUCAAGUUGCGGAAAACCUGAAAAACGCUCAAAGUCGAGAGCAGCGAGACUAUGCUAAACGACACGGUAACCCUAUGUUGCGGCCCGUCAAUAAGGAGGAGGCAGACCCACUGGUCACACUGAUUGCUCAAACGGAUCGCGCAACUGGUGGGCCAGUUUCGUUGGAACCCCAGCCAGCGGCCGCACAGAAACGUAAAAGUCCUAUCAAGGUGGAUAAUGCAAGUUCGCUGGAGCACGCACCUGACCUGGCGGAAAACACCAAGGUGUACCGAUGGACUCGGCAUUCACACAAGCUCGGGACCGACAGGGAGGGCCCAUUUUUCUUCAAGUACUGGAAUGCCCUCAGUACUCUGGCGCUGGUUGAGACUGCUGAUGGCCAGCCAUUCACAGUCCCUGUAAAACAACUGUUCGUCCCUUCGGAGAUUCGGAGCAUUAAGGAAAUAAAGCAGCCCUGAGAGUAGCAGUCGGACCUGCAUGUGUUAAGAAUAUGAAGGCAAGGAGACUGGUCGUGAUAUAUGGGUUACUAAUUUGUAUUUGUAAUGUUACAGAGUGGGAAGCUUCUGGGCCGCUUUAUCACAUUGUCAGUUCUAGAUCAUUUAUCACCUUAUAGCACCAUCCACCACUACCACACUGUACUUCGCCAUACGAACUGUAAGUCCAAGGCGGCGGAUCCAGCCUUCAGGGACCCCUCCUCAUCCAUUCACCCGAACACCCGAAGAGACGGAGGGUUCGGCAAUCGCCACCAAUCCAGCGUGCGAAUCUGGUCCAUCAACUGUGACCUCAACUCCACAUCUCAGCAGCUAGCCAUAAUCUCGCGCUCCCGACUAAUUCGGGGGUCUCCCCAGGAAUCGAACCCAGGACCUUAAACCGCUAAUUGCAGUAGUGUCAACCCAGACCAGACCAGACCAGACCAGACCAGACCAGACCAGACCAGACCAGACCAGACCAGACCAGACCAGACCAGACCAGACCAGACCAGACCAGACCAGACCAGACCAGAUAUGGGUUACAGUCUGUGGGUUAGUGGUGAACGGCAAGAAGACUUUAGGAGAUACCUGUUAAUGAAUACCGAUCCAUCCUAAGAUGAGAUACCAAGACUUGCAUAACUUGUGUCUUAUAUACCAGUACCAAUGGAAGUAUCGUACAGUCGCCCACCAUCUAUCCUGGACACGAGGACACGUCCUAGAUACGCGGCCGAGAGACCCUAGGCAAGGUCGAGGCAGGGCCGAGGCUGUUAAGAAUAUGAAGGCAAGGAGACUGGUCGCGAUAUAAGGGUUACAGUCUGUGGGUUAAUGGUGAACGGCAAGAAGACUUUAGGAGAUUCCUAUGAAGGAAUACCGAUCCAUCCGAAGAUGAGAUAGAAAGACAUGCACCACUUUGGUCUUAUGUACCGAUACCAACGGAAGUAUCGUACAGUCGUCCACCAUCCCUGGACCUGAGGACACGUCCGAGAUACGCGGCCGAGAGACCCGAGGCAAGGUCGAGGCAGCCCAGAGACCCGAGGCAAGGUCGAGGCAGGGCCGAGGCAUGGUCGAGGCAAGUCGGAGGCAUACCCUAUCACGGCGGAUUCAUCGCCUAUCUACCACCUAUUUAUGUUGGGAUAGGACCGCCCUUCAACAUGGCCAUAUGCCGGGACAAAACGAUCAAUGCAUACGAAAUGUCAGGCCGCCAACAACAACGCACGCAAGGUAGCUCUCUGUCAAGAGUUCAACCGUUUCAAGAUGGUCGACGGCGAGCCGCUACCCAAGUACUUUGCACGUGCGCGGUAAUUACAGUCAGACUUGUUGGGAGUGGGGCACGUUAUCAGCGACUCGGAGCUGGCGUACACAGUGCUGGUUGGUCUACCCAGCCGCUUUAACGUGGUAACGACGUCCCUGCUGGUGCGUGACGGCGAUUUGGACAUGGCGAGCGUCACCUCCAAGCUUUUGGCUAUCGAGGUGGCAAGCGGUGGGUCUAGUAGGCCUACCGAGUCGGCAGCUUUUGCUUCUGUCGGCGGUCUCACGUUUGGCGCCUCUGGUUCUGGUCUUAGGAAUCACGGCGCGGCCAGCAGCAGUUCUGGCGGUCCCCCCAAACAUUUGUUUUGUCACUAUUGCAAAAAGCCCGGGCACGAUAUUAAGGACUGCAGGAAGUUGAAGGCACUAAAGCAGUUGUCCAUUUCUGGCAGUGGACAAGGUAAGGGUGAUGGUGGCAGCAGAGUUAGCGGCAGCAAGCCUGGGCCCGGUGGGCCUGGAAAGGGAUCAGGAUUCCCGCGGCAGGUUGCGUUCACAGCGUACAAUGGUGAGCGUCCGCAGGGGUGGUUCCAGGAUUCAGCCGCCACUCACCACAUAACGUAUGACCGCUCAGAACUUCUCAGCGUGCGGUUGUUGGAGCCAUGGGAGUAGGGUUGGCAAAAAUACUAUAUUUAUUUACCCCAAUAGUAAUGUAGUACUAUGAUACUAUUACUAGGCAGGUACACGCUCCCUGUAGAAGGGGGGUGUACGACCAACCGUUGUACCUGAACGUUACACCGUUGGAAAGGUCUUCUUUUGUUCUUUCUAAAUAUCUACUUAGGCUAUAUAAAACCCUAAAACCUUUAUCUACUCAGAUCGCUGUGGUCAUCCAGAUCACUUUUUGUUAGUUCAGUGCCCGGUAGGUGGACCCCAAACCCCAUGUCUCAAGGCGUGUUAUGGCACAUAAAGACAUAAUCACAGAUAGAAGACCCAGUGUUGACAAGACAACACACGGACGCCAUACUAGUGAAGACUUGCCCCGCGAGAGUCGCGGGAAUCACUGGGAGGAGGGUCUGGCCAUCAAUGCCGCGCCGGCGCUUGGAGAGGGCCUGCUGAUCCGCCGUGCUGGGGCCCGCUGCAGCAGAGCUGGUUCCACUCUGUUGCUGUUGCUGGCUGAGUGACGCUGCACGCUGUUUGAUAGCCUUGCAAGCACCUUGCUUGAUCUGGUGCGCGUUGGUAAAGGAUGGGUUCGCGGCGCUGAGCGGCUCAUCACAGAACAAGCAGACUAGCAGACUACCCCACUACUAGCAGACUACCCCACCACUCCACAUCGAAGUUGUCCCAAAGACAACCCGUCUACAGGGUUACGUAGCUUGUUAAAAAGCUUGUUCCGAGAACGGAGAACUUCAGGGGGGACGUCUGGACCAGGAUGCAAGCCUCUGAUCGCCUUGUCAUUCUUUAUACUGGAUUCCUUUGAUUCAUCAAUAACUACGUAGCACAGCCCGAAGACGCGGCUAUAGCCCUUCAAAAUACAGCUUGACUGCAGAUCUCGACUUGGUCCAACUAAUACUGGACACUAUCCAACCCAAAUCUAGUACUAUCUGUUGAGGAAACGGUCCUCUCCCAACUCGUGUGGUUGUCAACCAGGGGAUUUGACCCCGGGUCUGCGCCUGACUAAUGGGGAAGGCUUACCCCAGAACCUUAUGGGCUACCGAUGCAUAUCCGGUAGCUAAGUGAUAGACAUUAGGGCACCGUCAGGACGGCGCAGUGAGAUCGCGGAAUGUACGUGCAGUUAGAUCGUGGAAUGUACGAGUUUUCCGCUAGCGCCGGUAUUUAGGGCGGUGACUGCGCUUAUUUGUUUAUCUCACUACGAUCGGUAUUCCUCAUAGGAGAUUCCUGCCGAACGCUAAUAAUACUCUUUACAUUACUUGUAACAGUUUAUCGUGCUAAAUAUCUUCGCCACCGGCAAUCCUUCCGGAAUAACAAUCAGCAACAACGGCAGGCGGCUGGCAGAAGUUAAGGCCUGGCUUCUGCUCCCGUCGCGUCCCGGCGCGUCCGGGUUCAAAUCCGCCUGCCGACCUCUCGGGGUGUUUGAGAGGUGAUGAAAUGGGAGGUGGCCCCCCAUCUUGUGGACGGUGUAGGACGUGAUAAAAUCAACUCGCGAGCUGACCAGGAACUAAGUUGACGCGCCGUUGAUCCGCUAGAUUUGGUUGGAUGCUGGUGGUGAGUUGCCAAACUCAAAGAGUACACUCUGAAGUCGGAUGGGGUGAAUGGCUUAGGGUGCCCCUCUAGCAGGGGAGAGCAGGGAACUGCCUCGGGAAGGAGGCCACUGGUGAAGCUUAACCACCCUGUAACAACAUCAACAAUCAGCGUUAGCCGUCACCGUCGCCAAUUCUUCAAUAGGUUAUGAGCCCCGAGUAGCGCCGACAGCUAUCGUCCGAUUGUUAUUUCUAUCCCUUAUCGACAAUGGUCAAGGAUAAGCUUGAUGAGCAGCUGGACCUCUACAACUACUCCACCUGGCAAAUCAGGUUUAGCGUGAUGUGCAUGGAGCUUGGGCUUGAGCAAUCCCUGCUCGCCGAGCCGUGCAACGAGGAGCAGAUUCGACAAUCACGGAAGGUCAUCAAUCUGCUCAUCAAGAACGUCAAGGAUCAUCAUUUGCCGAUGGUUACCGGUGCUGCCAACGCGAAGAAGGCCUGGGACGCCUUGGGAUCUAUGUUUGCUGCCAACAACAACGCCCGCAAGGUGUCUCUACGUCAAGAAUUCAGCCGUUUUAAGAUGGUCGACGGCGAACCUCUUCCGAUGUACUUUGCGCGUGCAAGGCAGCUGCAAACAGAUUUAUUGGGAGUCGGCCACGUAGUUAACGAUUCCGAGCUGGCGUACACCGUCCUAAUUGGUCUACCCAGUCGGUACAGCGUGGUGACGACUACAUUACUAAUGCGCGACGGCGAUUUGGACAUGGCGAGCGUCACAGCAAAGCUUCUCUCUAUUGAGACGGCUAACGGUGGGUCGGGCAAGCCUACCGAGUCGGCAGCCUUCGCGGAUGUCGGCGGUUCGACGUUCGGCGCUUCUACUUCUGGUUAUGGUAGCCGGGGGCCGGCUAACAACAGCUCGGGACACAGUCGGAAACAGCUCAUCUGCUACUACUGUAAUAAACCUGGGCACGUGGUAAAGGACUGCAGGCAGCUUAAAGCGCUGAAGCAGUCGUCAAAUUCUGGCUAUAAGGGAGGGUACAACCACAGUGGUAACGGAGGUAGUGGCAGCGGAGCUAGCGGCAGCAAGCCAGGAUCCGGUGGAUCAGCUAGGGGGCCAGGAGUUCCGCGGCAGGUAGCAUUCGUGGCAUACAACAGCAAUCGUCCGACGGAAUGGUUUCUGGACUCAGCCGCCACUCACCACAUAACGUAUGACCGCUCAGAACUUUUCAACGUGCGGUUGUUGGAGUCAUGGGAGCGCUUCAACAUCAUGGGCAUCAAGGGACAGUCUCUUCGGCCGACUGAAGUUGGCACGCUUACAAUUCGGUCUAACGUCAACGAUAAACAGGCCAUUACUUUUAAGAAGGUCUACGUAGACGAGGAGGCCACCGCCAAAAUCCUAUCGGUCCGCAUCAUUGAUGAUCGUGGAGGCAGUGUGGUCUUCGGCGGCGGACAGGUGAAAGUAUACGUACAGAACCACUUGGUGCUGACUGGAAAGCGGGAUGGGGACUUGUAUCCCGUCUGCUACAGCAGUGGAGGUACGGGAGCUCUGAAGUGUGAAGACAACAGGAUACCUUCUGGUGGUGAUGCAGUGUGUGCUGCCGUGGGUAUCGGAGCUGAACGUGCAGCACUUUGGCACCGAAGGUAUGGCCACUUAGGAUACAGCAACCUUGAGGCGCUGCUGCGUCAUGAUAUGGUAACUGGGUUCGAUGUUGACCGACACAGCAUACAAUCAGCCAGCGCGUGUGUGUGUGAGACUUGCGUCUUUGCAAAGCAUACACGUGGUCCUUUUCCGUUAUCUGGGCAUAAGGCAGCGCAGCCUCUCGCGCUCAUUCACAUGGAUGUGUGUGGACCUAUGCCUGAACCUUCACCUAGUGGUUCGCGUUAUGUGACAACUCUGCUUGACGACCAUACUGGUCUUUCAGCUGUUGCGUUUACAGCGACCAAGGAGGAGGUCUACCAGAAGAUGGUGGUAAUGAUAGCGGAACUGGAGCGCGCUACUGGCANNNNNNNNNNNNNNNNNNNNNNNNNNNNNNNNNNNNNNNNNNNNNNNNNNACAAUCACGGAAGGUCAUCAAUCUGCUCAUCAAGAACGUCAAGGAUCAUCAUUUGCCGAUGGUUACCGGUGCUGCCAACGCGAAGAAGGCCUGGGACGCCUUGGGAUCUAUGUUUGCUGCCAACAACAACGCCCGCAAGGUGUCUCUACGUCAAGAAUUCAGCCGUUUUAAGAUGGUCGACGGCGAACCUCUUCCGAUGUACUUUGCGCGUGCAAGGCAGCUGCAAACAGAUUUAUUGGGAGUCGGCCACGUAGUUAACGACUCCGAGCUGGCGUACACCUUCCUAGUUGGUCUACCCAGUCGGUACAGCGUGGUGACGACUACAUUACUAAUGCGCGACGGCGAUUUGGACAUGGCGAGCGUCACAGCAAAGCUUCUCUCUAUUGAGACGGCUAACGGUGGGUCGGGCAAGCCUACCGAGUCGGCAGCCUUCACGUCUGUCGGCGGUUCGACGUUCGGCGCUUCUACUUCUGGUUAUGGUAGCCGGGGGCCGGCUAACAACAGCUCGGGACACAGUCGGAAGCAAGUCAUCUGCUACUACUGUAAUAAGCCUGGGCACGUGGUUAAGGACUGCAGGCAGCUUAAAGCGCUGAAGCAGUCGUCAAAUUCUGGCUACAAGGGUGGCUACAACAACAGUGGUAACGGAGGUAGUGGCAGCGGAGCUAGCGGCAGCAAGCCAGGAUCCGGUGGAUCAGCUAGGGGGCCAGGAGUUCCGCGGCAGGUAGCAUUCGUGGCAUACAACAGCAAUCGCCCGACGGAAUGGUUUCUGGACUCAGCCGCCACUCACCACAUAACAUAUGACCGCUCAGAACUUUUCAACGUGCGGUUGUUGGAGUCAUGGGAGCGCUUCAACAUCAUGGGCAUCAAGGGACAGUCUCUUCGGCGGACUGAAGUUGGCACGCUUACGAUUCGGUCUAACGUCAACGAUAAACAGGCCAUUACUUUUAAGAAGGUCUACGUCGACGAGGCGGCCACCGCCAAAAUCCUAUCGGUCCGCAUCAUUGAUGAUCGUGGAGGCAGUGUGGUCUUCGGCGGCGGACAGGUGAAAGUAUACGUACAGAACCACUUGGUGCUGACUGGAAAGCGGGAUGGGGACUUGUAUCCCGUCUGCUACAGCAGUGGAGGUACGGGAGCUCUGAAGUGUGAAGACAACAGGAUACCUUCUGGUGGUGAUGCAGUGUGUGCUGCCGUGGGUAUCGGAGCUGAACGUGCAGCACUUUGGCACCGAAGGUAUGGCCACUUAGGAUACAGCAACCUUGAGGCGCUGCUGCGUCAUGAUAUGGUAACUGGGUUCGAUGUUGACCGACACAGCAUACAAUCAGCCAGCGCGUGUGUGUGUGAGACUUGCGUCUUUGCAAAGCAUACACGUGGUCCUUUUCCGUUAUCUGGGCAUAAGGCAGCGCAGCCUCUCGCGCUCAUUCACAUGGAUGUGUGUGGACCUAUGCCUGAACCUUCACCUAGUGGUUCGCGUUAUGUGACAACUCUGCUUGACGACCAUACUGGUCUUUCAGCUGUUGCGUUUACAGCGACCAAGGAGGAGGUCUACCAGAAGAUGGUGGUAAUGAUAGCGGGAACUGGAGCGCGCUACUGGCAGGCAGGUUAAGGAGGUGCGUACAGAUCGUGGCGGGGAGUUCGUUAAUACUCGCACGAAGGGCUAUUUCUCGUCCAGGGGUAUUGUACACGGAACUACGGUAGGCUAUACCCCUGAGCAGAACGGAGCUGCGGAACGUUUAAAUCGCACUUUUUUGGACUAGGGCUAUGCUCGUUGAGUCUGGACUGCCUAAAUCAUUAUGGGCGGAGGCGUUAGCGACAGCCAACUAUCUUAGGAAUGUGUCGCCAACUGCUGGGUCAACCGUCACUCCGUACGAAGCUUUCUUUAACGUUCGUCCGAACAUCAGUCACCUGCGAGUCUUUGGAUGCGUUGCCUACGUCCACGUACCCGACGUCAAGCGCGACAAGUUCGACCCGGUGAGCAGGCGUGGAAUACUUGUCGGAUACGGGAACGGUGGACAGUAUCGUGUACUAUACGAGGACGGCAUUAUUGCCGUAGUUUCUAACGUUCGUUUUGACGAGUCUAACGUCGGCCGGCGGCGUAAUGCCGGGGAUUCUGAUUAUGAGUCCGAUGCCGAUGAGGAGGAGGAGUUUCACACUAGUUUAUCUGGUGAGGGAUCGCUGCCUAGGGCUGGCGAAGGGACACCAGGUAGCACCGUCGGCGAGGGAUCGCCGCAUUUGGGUGGCGAGGGGGCGCCGGCUGGGGCUGGACCUUCCAGCAGUGCGAACGUGCAAGGAAUCAAUCAGCCUGAUGUGGAAAUGGCGGGAACUAGGUACCCAGUUAGAGAGCGUAAACGCCCUGGCGAAUGGUGGCGAAACGAACCUGGUCGCACUGUCACUGGUCGCGUUAACGCUGCUUUCUCUGCUGGUAUUCCUGAGCCUAAUUCAUUUGCGGAAGCCAUUGCAAGUCCACAUGCAGACGACUGGCGGCGUGCGAUGGACGAGGAGAUCGCCGCCCAGAUGGCUAACAGUACUUGGGAGCUGAAGAAGCCACCUCCUGGUACUCGUUUGUUGCCGUGUCGUUGGGUAUAUAAGGUUAAGUACAGCGAUGACGGCAGCGUGGAGCGUUUUAAGGCGCGUUUAGUUGCCAAGGGUUUCGAGCAACGCGAGGGGAUUGAUUAUGGGGAGUUGAUGUUGUUACAGGGUGGUUAAGCUUCACCAGUGGCCUCCUUCCCGAGGCAAUUCCCUGCUCUCCCCUGCUAGAGGGGCACCCUAAGCCAUUCACCCCAUCCGACUUCAGAGUGUACUCUUUGAGUUUGGCAACUCACCACCAGCAUCCAACCAAAUCUAGCGGAUCAACGGCGCCUCAACUUAGUUCCUAGUCAGCUCGCAAGUUGAUUUUAUCACGUCCUACACCGUCCACAAGAUGGGGGGCCACCUCCCAUUUCACCACCUCUCAAACACCCGAGAGGUCGGCAGGCGGAUUUGAACCCGGGUCGACCGGGAGCAGAAGUCAGGCCUUAACCUCUGCCAGCCGCCUGCCUAGAGUUGUUUGCCCCCACCUCUCGUGGUUCGUCAUUACGUGCUUUAUUAGCAGUUGCCACAGCGCGGAACAUGACGGUGCAUCAGCUAGAUGUGUCUACUGCGUUCCUGAAUGGUGAGCUGAAGGAGGAGUUAUGGAUGGAGCAACCGCCUGGGUAUGUGUGUAAUGUUACAGAGUGGGAGGCUUCUGGGCCGCUUUUAUCACAUUGUCAGUUCUACGAUUUAUCAUCUUAUAGCACCAUCCACCACUACCACACUAUACUUCGCCAUACGAACUGUAAGUCCAAGGCGGCGGGUCCAGCCGUCUAGGACCCCUCCUCAUCCAUUCACCCGAACAACGGAAGAGACGGAGGGUUCGGCAAUCGCCACCAAUCCAGCGUGCGAAUCUGGUCCAUCAACUGCGACCUCAACUCCACAUCUCAGCAGCUAGCCAUAAUCUCGCGCUCCCGACUAAUUCGGGGGUCUCCCCAGGAAUCGAACCCAGGCCUGGGUAUGCAUCCAGUGACCGGUCGCUUGCGUGCAAGCUGCAGAAGUCUAUUUACGGUUUGAAGCAGGCACCCCGUUGCUGGUAUGAAAAGCUAUCAGCAGAGUUCGCCAAGUUGGGUCUUUAUCCUUCGAAGUCUGAUCCGGCGAUGUUUGUUAAGACUGACGAGCGAGGGGUUGUUAUUGCUUUGGUGCACGUAGAUGAUACCAUUGUUGCGUCGGAAGACCCGGAAAUGGUCCGGGCAAUUAAAACAGCAAUUGCGAAGGUCUUCAAGGUGCGCGACCUUGGAGAAGCAAAGGUGUUUUUGGGCAUGGAAAUUAGGAGGGAGAAGUCGGGUGAGAUAGUGUUGUCGAAGCAUAGGUAUAUUGCGCAGCUGUUGGAGCGUCAUAGGAUGAUUGACGCCAAGCCGAGGUCUACCCCUUUGCCUCCGGGCUUUAGGUACACUCCUAAGGGGGACGGAGAGGAGCUGCUGGGCAAUCCCACCGAGUAUAGGGCUUUGGUGGGAGAAUUGAACUAUCUGGCGACGAACACGCGGCCUGACAUUUCAUAUGCAUUGAGCGUUUUGUCCCGGCAUAUGGCCGCACCUACGAAGACUGCCAUGAACUUAGCAAUCGGCGUUCUGCGUUACCUGGCGGGGACUCGCGAACUAGGAUUGCGUUUUGGGGGUGUUGGCGACGUUGCUAUGUCCGGGUACAGUGAUUCGGACUGGGCAGGAGACCCAGUUACGCGGCGCUCUACGUCCGGCUACGUUUUCACUCUUAAUGGGGCUGCGAUUAGCUGGAGCAGCCAACUUCAACGUACUGUGGCGGCUUCGUCGGUGGAGGCUGACUACCAAGCUACAGCGGCGGCUGUUCACGAGGCUUUGUGGCUUCGCAAGCUGAUGGUUGAUUUGGGUUUGCCUGAGAGCGCUAUCAGAAUCCAAAUAGAUUCCCAGGGGGCGCUUAGCUUGGGAAAUAACCCGAUUACGUCUGCUCGGUCGAAGCACAUCGACGUGCAGCAUCACAUAGUGCGUGAGAGGGUGAAUAGUGGUGAGGUGCAGUUGGAAUACUGCCCUACGGAGUGGAUGGUUGCGGAUGUGCUAACGAAGGCUCUGGGCGAGGUGAAGUUCAAACGUUGCCGAGAUGCGAUGGGCCUUGUGUGAAGUGUGCAGAUGAACUUGGUACUCGUUGGGAUACGGCCCGAGGGGACGUGUUGAGGAAACGGUCCUCUCCCAACUCGUGUGGUUGUCGACCAGGGGAUUUGACCCCGGGUCUGCGCCUGACUAAUGGGGAAGGCUUACCCCAGAACCUUAUGGGCUACCGAUGCAUAUCCGGUAGCUAAGUGAUAGACAUUAGGGCACCGUCAGGACGGCGCAGUGAGAUCGCGGAAUGUACGUGCAGUUAGAUCGUGGAAUGUACGAGUUUUCCGCUAGCGCCGGUAUUUAGGGCGGUGACUGCGCUUAUUUGUUUAUCUCACUACGAUCGGUAUUCCUCAUAGGAAUCUCCUCAAGUCCUGCCGAACGCUAAUAAUACUCUAUACAUUACUUGUAACAGUUUAUCGUGCUAAAUAUCUUCGCCAGCGGCAAUCCUUCCGGAAUAACAAUCAGCGUUAGCCGUCACCGUCGCCAAUUCUUCAAUACUAUCUAGUACUAUUUUUACUAUACUAUUUUACUAUGUACGAACGCGGUACGAGCGUCGUAAACUAGUACCAGUUAAGAGCCCUG
rnacentral:lncRNA from 1 species